GACGAACGCUGGCGGCGUGCUUAACACAUGCAAGUCGAACGCUGAAGCUCAGCUUUUGUUGGGUGGAUGAGUGGCGAACGGGUGAGUAACACGUGAGUAACCUGCCCCCUUCUUUGGGAUAACGCCCGGAAACGGGUGCUAAUACUGGAUAUUCACUGGUCUUCGCAUGGGGGUUGGUGGAAAGGGUUUUUCUGGUGGGGGAUGGGCUCGCGGCCUAUCAGCUUGUUGGUGGGGUGAUGGCCUACCAAGGCUUUGACGGGUAGCCGGCCUGAGAGGGUGACCGGUCACAUUGGGACUGAGAUACGGCCCAGACUCCUACGGGAGGCAGCAGUGGGGAAUAUUGCACAAUGGGCGCAAGCCUGAUGCAGCGACGCCGCGUGGGGGAUGGAGGCCUUCGGGUUGUGAACCUCUUUCGCUCAUGGUCAAGCCGCAACAAUGGUUGUGGUGAGGGUAGUGGGUAAAGAAGCGCCGGCUAACUACGUG
rnacentral:rRNA from 1 species